rnacentral:rRNA from 1 species
CCUGGCGGCCAUAGCGCGGUGGUCCCACCUGACCCCAUGCCGAACUCAGAAGUGAAACGCCGUAGCGCCGAUGGUAGUGUGGGGUCUCCCCAUGUGAGAGUAGGGAACCGCCAGGU